CAACUUGAGAGUUUGAUCCUGGCUCAGAACGAACGCUGGCGGCACGCCUAACACAUGCAAGUCGAGCGCUCACUUCGGUGGGAGCGGCGGACGGGUUAGUAACGCGUGGGAACAUACCCUUUACUACGGAAUAGCCUUUGGAAACGAAGAGUAAUACCGUAUACGCCCUACGGGGGAAAGAUUUAUCGGUAAAGGAUUGGCCCGCGUUAGAUUAGAUAGUUGGUGGGGUAACGGCCUACCAAGUCUACGAUCUAUAGCUGGUUUGAGAGGAUGAUCAGCAACACUGGGACUGAGACACGGCCCAGACUCCUACGGGAGGCAGCAGUGGGGAAUCUUAGACAAUGGGGGAAACCCUGAUCUAGCGAUGCCGCGUGUGUGACGAAGGCCUUAGGGUCGUAAAGCACUUUCGCCAGAGAUGAUAAUGACAGUAUCUGGUAAAGAAACCCCG
rnacentral:ncRNA from 1 species